rnacentral:rRNA from 1 species
UCGAUUUACCUUCGGGUAUUGAGGAUGGCGGACGGGUGAGUAACGCGUAAGGAACUUGCCUCUUGGUCUGGGACAACUGUUGGAAACGACAGCUAAUACCAGAUAUUAUGAGAUUCUCGCAUGAGAAACUUAUGAAAGCUAUAUGCGCCAAGAGAGAGCCUUGCGUUCCAUUAGCUAGUUGGUGGGGUAACGGCCCACCAAGGCGACGAUGGAUAGCCGGCCUGAGAGGGUGAACGGCCACAAGGGGACUGAGACACGGCCCUUACUCCUACGGGAGGCAGCAGUGGGGAAUAUUGGACAAUGGGCCACAAGCCUGAUCCAGCAAUUCUGUGUGCACGAUGAAGGUCUUCGGAUUGUAAAGUGCUUUCAGUUGGGAAGAAGAAAGUGACGGUACCAACAGAAGAAGCGACGGCUAAAUACGUGCCAGCAGCCGCGGUAAUACGUAUGUCGCAAGCGUUAUCCGGAUUUAUUGGGCGUAAAGCGCGUCUAGGCGGAAAAAUAAGUCUGAUGUUAAAAUGCGGGGCUCAACUCCGUAUUGCGUUGGAAACUGUUUUUCUAGAGUACUGGAGAGGUGGGCGGAACUACAAGUGUAGAGGUGAAAUUCGUAGAUAUUUGUAGGAAUGCCGAUGGAGAAGUCAGCUCACUGGACAGAUACUGACGCUAAAGCGCGAAAGCGUGGGGAGCAAACAGG